rnacentral:rRNA from 1 species
UGCGCCUUGCCAGCCCGCUCAGAAACUUAAAGGAAUUGUACGGGGGCCCGGCACAAGCGGAGGAACAUGUGGUUUAAUUCGAUGAUACGCGAGGAACCUUACCUGGGCUAGAACGCAUUCGGAAUCAGGCCCGAAAGGCCUGCGCCAGCGAUGGCCGCUUGCGAGGUGCUGCAUGGUUGUCGUCAGCUCGUGCCGUGAGGUGUCGGGUUAAGUCCCAUAACGAGCGCAACCCCUACUGCUAGUUGCCAGCGGGUCAUGCCGGGGACUCUAGCGGAACUGCCAGCGUAAGCUGCGAGGAAGGUGGGGAUGACGUCAAAUCAGCACGGCCCUUACGUCCAGGGCUACACACGUGUUACAAUGGCCGGUACAGAGGGCAGCCACCCCGCGAGGGGCGCGAAUCCCGAAAGCCGGUCCCAGUUCGGAUCGGAGUCUGCAACCCGACUCCGUGAAGCUGGAUUCGCUAGUAAUCGCGCAUCAGCCACGGCGCGGUGAAUACGUUCCCGGGCCUU